rnacentral:tRNA from 1 species
GCCGAAGUGGCGGAAUCUGGUAGACGCGCAUGAUUCAGGGUCAUGUAAGCGCAAGCUUGUGGGGGUUCGAGUCCCCCCUUCGGCACCA